GACGAACGCUGGCGGCGUGCCUAAUACAUGCAAGUCGAACGAGAGCGCCCGGUGCUUGCACUGGUCAAUCUAGUGGCGAACGGUUGAGUAACACGUGGGUAACCUGCCCAUCAGAGGGGGAUAACAUCCGGAAACGGAUGCUAAAACCGCAUAGGUCUUCGAGCCGCAUGGCUUGAAGAGGAAAAGAGGCGCAAGCUUCUGCUGAUGGAUGGACCCGCGGUGCAUUAGCUAGUUGGUGAGGUAACGGCUCACCAAGGCCGUGAUGCAUAGCCGACCUGAGAGGGUGAUCGGCCACAUUGGGACUGAGACACGGCCCAAACUCCUACGGGAGGCGGCAGUAGGGAAUCUUCCGCAAUGGACGCAAGUCUGACGGAGCAACGCCGCGUGAGUGAAGAAGGUUUUCGGAUCGUAAAACUCUGUUGUUAGAGAAGAACAAGUGCUAGAGUAACUGUUAGCGCCUUGACGGUAUCUAACCAGAAAGCCACGGCUAACUACGUG
rnacentral:rRNA from 1 species